ACUCCUCCUCGGCUGUUCCCCAACCCUGUCACUGUGCUCCCCUCCCUACUCCCGGCCCGUAGUGGAGGUGACUUUCCUGCGCAGCGCCGCUUCUGAGGGCGGAGAACCCACAGGGAGUGCGACCCCUUUGCACGCUGUGAGUGGGCAACUGUCCGAGGGACUCGAGCCGAUCGAAGGCUGGACGCCCUAUAGGGCUCUUGGCAGUCCACGAAAGACCUGGAGUCCGCCUCCCCAUUUCUCCGGUCGGUGAGUGGCAGGAGGAAAUCGCCAAACAUGUUUUCCCGCUUUGCCUCCCCAACUCGGAAACUUGCAACUUGCCGUGUCCUGGAGGUUGAGACAAUUUGGGGUCUCUUGGCUGCCGUCCAACAGAUUUAUCUCUGAGGGCAGUGUCCUUGGUGAGAGGUCCAAGUAGGUGUGGGCGACAUUGUCCUCCAUCUCAUGAGGGAGCAGCCCUGCACACUAGGGCCCAAAACUCUGCGAAGGAGCUUGGAAGUUCUUCAUCCGUUCCACUUGUUUUGCUACUCCACACACCCUUCUAGGACAUGUUGAUUGCCAACUGCUCUGUGCAGCUUUCCCAUAGCUGUCUGUUCCCGUGCAUUUCGGAGCACCAAGCAAAUACGAGCAGAGAGACCUGGAAAAAAAAAUGAUGAAGACAGUAUUAAUGAUAAAAUUAACAUGGCUGAGUGAAUUGUCAAUGCAAGUUCCUUUACUAACUCUUUGUUAAGUUUUGCUUUGUACUCCUUACAUCCUCUUUCUCUUAAGCCAUUGUUUUAAUUUCUUCUCGUUAUCAUUUUUAAAAGUAACAGAAAUACAGCUUUCUUCCUACCUUCACGAUUGACUUGGUGGAGGUUGGGUUGCAAAGAGGAAGCAGUAAGAAAAAAUAAUUAUUCUAUACAUUCACAAGUCCUUCAAGGCACAAAAUAAAAGUAAGAAAUAGAAAAUAUGUCCUUUCUCCUAAUAAAGGUCUUUAUAAUAAAAUUUAAAUGAAGUUUUGUGUUUCAUAACAGCUUCCCAAAUACUGUUGUAGAUACUAAAAUGUGCCUGUAUGUAUUUCCUUCCACAAUAAUAAUAGUAAUAAUAAACUUUUUUAGGUCCAAAUUAAACAUUUCUCAGCUUAAAUUUCUAUCCUCAAUCCAACAUUUAUUAUAUCAAAACUU
rnacentral:lncRNA from 1 species